rnacentral:rRNA from 2 species
UUUUUCGGAGAGUUUGAUCCUGGCUCAGGACGAACGCUGGCGGCGUGCCUAAUACAUGCAAGUCGAGCGGACAGAAGGGAGCUUGCUCCCGGAUGUUAGCGGCGGACGGGUGAGUAACACGUGGGUAACCUGCCUGUAAGACUGGGAUAACUCCGGGAAACCGGAGCUAAUACCGGAUAGUUCCUUGAACCGCAUGGUUCAAGGAUGAAAGACGGUUUCGGCUGUCACUUACAGAUGGACCCGCGGCGCAUUAGCUAGUUGGUGAGGUAACGGCUCACCAAGGCGACGAUGCGU